UGUGCCCUUGACUGGAAUCGAACCCGGGACCCUUUAGUCCACAGGCUGACGCUCUAUCCAUUGAACCAAACCAGUUAGGGUAGUGGUCAGCAAACUGUAGCUAUGUAGCUUGCGAGUGGAGGUUUGCCGCUCUGUUGACUAAUGAGUUUGCCAACCACUGACCUAGACUCUUGAUUCCAGUAAUUACAGGCUGCUGUUGUUCUUUGUGAUUAAACCCCUAUCCCAGUGGUUGGCAAACUCAUUAGUCAACAGAGCGGCAAACCACUGCUCGUGAGCUGCAAGCCGCAUGUGGCUCGCGAGCCGCGGUUUGCCGGCCACUGGGUUAAGCAUAAACAAGUUCUUUGGUUGAUCUCUUUCCUCUACCCACCCUCCCCCUUGUACCUUAUAGCACAUGCUUUCCUCUCCGUGGGCCUUCCCGGAACCACUUGUCUGAAGUGGCCCCUACUACACUCUGCUUUAUCCCCACAGGCCUAGUCUCCUCUCAUCAAAUGUAAGCUUUGUGAAGGCAGCGACAUGGGUCUGUUUUGUUCACUAUAGUGUCCCUGGCAUCUAGAACAGUGCUGGACACAUAGUAAGUACACAAUAAAUAAUUCCUGAAUUAAUAAAGUAUACCAAUGAAAUAGCUCCAUUUUUUGAGCCCAGCAAGGCAAAAAUGUGGCCUUGUCUUCAUUUUAGAUCAUCCCAGCUGCCUGAUUUGAGUUGUAUACUGUAGGUCAAGUGUUGACAGAUUCAGAUCUUAAAGGGGCCAGGCAGGUAGAAAGUGUAAAUCUGAAUGAGUGCAAUCACUAGAGACAAUAGUAAGUGGUAGGGCAUGUGGUACCUGGCUGCCUAAAGACACAUUAGAACUAAACAAAAAGCUGCCAGCUAGUUUUGGCCCCUUGGCCACCCGUGAGCCUGAAUUGAGGAACUACUAUAGAUCAGGUUUGCACUCAAGCAAGAUCACUGAGGAUGCCAUUCAGAUUGCUGUUGGGUGGGGGGUGAGGGGUCAAAAGGCAGAACUGUCCAAUUAAGUUCAUCCACUGGAGGAGGCUGGUGAUGAGCAAUGAUGGGGUCCUAAAGUGUAGUUGUGAAAGCACAGAGGAGAACCAAGGUGAGUUGUUUAGGGAGAUAAAAUUGAUGGGUGAUAUUUUGUGGAAGAGCCACAUAAAAUCUAUUUUUCAUUUAUGAGGAAAGCUGUGAUGAAUCUUUCUUCAUAACUCUGUCUUCAGGAGACCAUUUGAACUUCAGGAAACCAAAUGUGAACCUUUUUAAAGUAUUUAACUCAGGCUUCCAAGUGUUUUCCGAAAAGAAUAUUUGAAGUGUAGCAAGGGAAGAGAGUACCUGCUCUGACCAGUAAAAGUAAGUUUACUGAGCAUCUGCUACAUGCUAGGUAGGCACUUCUUAGCUCCUUACAUAUUGAUACACUAGAGGCCAAGGCACGAAAUUCAUGCAGGAGUAGGCCUUCCUUCCCCUGGUCGCUGGCACCGCCUUCCCUCUGGCAUCUGGGACCUAGGCUUCCCUCGCAGCCCGGGCUUCGUCCGGGAGGAAAUCUGAUCUAAUUAGCAUAUUACGUUUUUAUUAUUAUAGAUGAUUAAUCCUCUAAACCAGCGGUUGCCAACCGGUGGCCUAUGGACCUACUGGUGGUCCAUGAGGUCUGAAAGGUUAGCCACGGCUGCUCUGAAGAAUCCUUUACAGUCAGUUCUGUUAUUAUUUUAGUGGGGAGGAAACACACAGGAAAGCUCCAUUGUUGGACAGUAGUAACUGCGAGGGAGUCUUUGCUUUACAGAAAAUAAAUCUGCCUUCCUGUAAGGGCUACCUUUUGCUCUGAGUUCGUGGAGCUGCCCACAGUGGGCAGUGCUGUGUAAUGUUUGGGAAUGGGAAUAAUGUCAAAUUACUUAUCCUUUUAAGUCAAAUUAGUGUGUUCUCCGUCCCAUCACCUCACAGGAAACUCAAUCCCUGGCCUUCCCUACAGUCACACAGGAUUCAAGGGAACUGCCCGUUCCCUGGCAAACAGCACGACCUUCUCGUGUUCCCCUUCACGGUCACUGCCAAGCACCAGCUUUGGCAGGGCGGCGGUUUCCACUACCGCGAGUUCCGGUGCCUGGGGUCUGGCCUCUCACGGCCCAUGUGGUCUUUCUGGAGGAGAUUCCCAUCCCAGCUGUUCCCAGAACCUACUGACCCAUCCCCUUACCCCCAACUUGGGGGACUUCCUCCUUUCCAGAAUUCAGACUUGUGGGGAUAGGUUGUUUGCAAGUAACAUCUGCUUCCAACCUCCAACACAUCGUCCCUGAAUGAUAAGAUUUAACUCAGGAAAAUGGGUAAAGAAAAUCCAGAUCACUGGGAAAGGUAAGUCUUUCAUCCCCAGGUGGCCGUUUCCCCAUUUGUGAACUGGGAGAAGGCGGUGAGGAUUCCUUUGUAGUACAUGGCCCCGUGCAUGUGACAGCAGUGAGGGAAGGCACAUGUUUAUCUGCAAUGGGCUUACCUGCCUCAUGACUUCUGGGACCAGGGAAGGCUCCCUGCCAGGGAAUGUCCCUUCCCCAAAUGUUCUAGCACAAUGCAAACAGGAGGAGCUGCUGCUUUAUGCGAGCCACCUGCCAGCCACAGUGAGCCAUCUGUUAUAGGGUUGAGGCCAGGGCCUUCGUCACAAAUAUAUAAACUAUUAAAUGCCAUGAGAGAAAAGGACAGAGGGAUCAGACCUUGUCUGAGGCUAAGGUGGUUGGACUCAGGGCGGUCACUUUUCGACUUGGGGCCCUAGGUUCUCCCGUCUGUGAAAUGAGGAGUAGGAAGCUCCACCUCUGGGUGUUGGUGGGCUCUUCUCACUUUGUCGCUUCAUGUCCGCGCUGCUUGUUGGCUCUGAAGGCCCACGUGCAGGGUACUGUCUAUAUCAAAACUCCCUGCUAGUUUACUUCCGGCUUCCUGUUUGCAAGCUUUCUUGCCAGAUACAUAACAAAUCAGCUGCCGCGUUAAGUGCUGGCAAAACUAUGAGGGCUACUACAGGUUUGUAAUUCUGAAAGCCACAGUGCUCUGAAAAAGUUCUUUCCUGAGUUUG